AGGUACAGUGAAGUGAUUUUGGAUUGUAAAUAUUUUUUUUUUAAUUUAGUUUAUAAUAAUUUAAUUUUUUGUCAAAAUUUAAAUUUUUAAAAAUAUCAAAAUUAUAAUUCUACAGCGAAACCAAUUAUGUAAAAAUAUCAAAAUUUUAAACUAUUUUUUUACACUUUUAAUCUUUUUGUUAGUUACUUUCUAUAUAUCAAGCAAACAGUAGAACUGGAAGAACUUCGACUCUAUAACUCUAUACAGAAAUAGUGGAAGAAAAAUAAGCUUACCUAAACUCCAGUCCAUUCGGAAAUCUAUUUCAGCUUGAAUUUCACCUUCGGUGAGAGUAAUAGGCUCAAGGCAUUUCGACCUGAAUUUC
rnacentral:lncRNA from 1 species